UGAGGAAUAUUGGUCAAUGGGCGAGAGCCUGAACCAGCCAAGUAGCGUGAAGGAUGACUGCCCUAUGGGUUGUAAACUUCUUUUAUAAAGGAAUAAAGUCGGGUAUGUAUACCCGUUUGCAUGUACUUUAUGAAUAAGGAUCGGCUAACUCCGUGCCAGCAGCCGCGGUAAUACGGAGGAUCCGAGCGUUAUCCGGAUUUAUUGGGUUUAAAGGGAGCGUAGAUGGAUGUUUAAGUCAGUUGUGAAAGUUUGCGGCUCAACCGUAAAAUUGCAGUUGAUACUGGAUAUCUUGAGUGCAGUUGAGGCAGGCGGAAUUCGUGGUGUAGCGGUGAAAUGCUUAGAUAUCACGAAGAACUCCGAUUGCGAAGGCAGCCUGCUAAGCUGCAACUGACAUUGAGGCUCGAAAGUGUGGGUAUCAAACAGGAUUAGAUACCCUGGUAGUCCACACGGUAAACGAUGAAUACUCGCUGUUUGCGAUAUACGGCAAGCGGCCAAGCGAAAGCGUUAAGUAUUCCACCUGGGGAGUACGCCGGCAACGGUGAAACUCAAAGGAAUUGACGGGGGCCCGCACAAGCGGAGGAACAUGUGGUUUAAUUCGAUGAUACGCGAGGAACCUUACCCAGGCUUAAAUUGCAGAUGAAUUACGGUGAAAGCCGUAAGCCGCAAGGCAUCUGUGAAGGUGCUGCAUGGUUGUCGUCAGCUCGUGCCGUGAGGUGUCGGCUUAAGUGCCAUAACGAGCGCAACCCUUGUUGUCAGUUACUAACAGGUCAUGCUGAGGACUCUGACAAGACUGCCAUCGUAAGAUGUGAGGAAGGUGGGGAUGACGUCAAAUCAGCACGGCCCUUACGUCCGGGGCUACACACGUGUUACAAUGGGGGGUACAGAGGGCCGCUACCACGCGAGUGGAUGCCAAUCCCAAAAACCUCUCUCAGUUCGGACUGGAGUCUGCAACCCGACUCCACGAAGCUGGAUUCGCUAGUAAUCGCGCAUCAGCCACGGCGCGGUGAAUACGUUCCC
rnacentral:rRNA from 1 species